rnacentral:lncRNA from 1 species
UUGUGUUUUGCGUGGGAUGAGGGAUCCACCAGGAAGAAGUGCGAGAAACGCGUGGAAGGAAUCGCCGGAAACAGUUCUCUCUCGGAGGAGGGGUUGUUUACGGCAAGGGCAACAUGGUAAUUUACACUGUGUUAUCACAUAGUGAUGGUGCCAUAUUGACGUGCUCGACGAGACGAAGACGUGGGCUUUGGAAUCACCGGAAUCGGAGUUAUAAAUAAAAAGAUAUGAGCGAUUGAAGAUCAGGGACCAAUCUGCAAUUAAAAUAUCUACAACUGGGUCCCUGAGAGCACGGCCUGCUCGCACCUUUGAAGGAAUACGUUUCCCAGAGGGGGAAACGUAUUUUGCACCGGGCGCUUCCACUUAAACGACGUGGCAAGGAAGGGGCGGCCUCUAGGUCACCGAUGCCUAGGGCCCGCGUUGACCUUCCCCCUUGUCUCUCUCCUCCUCCCGCCUU